rnacentral:lncRNA from 1 species
UCUUCUGAUAUCCCGCCUCAUGGAAUUGAUGCAUACACUCUUGCAGCUUCACACUUAACUUCGAGUUUUCAGAUUGAAGCUCCUCCAUGGCAUUUUUCAAUUUGUCAUACUCUUCUCGAUUCACCAUUGUUGACUGCUCAGGAGUAGGUGGAUACAAAGGUUCCUCAAUAGGAAAUGGCAGACCAAACUCUUCGACUCUUCCUUGAAGCCAAUCUUCAUACUGAGGGUAAGUCCUGCAAUCUCCUUUUCCA